rnacentral:ribozyme from 1 species
AGUCGCAGGAUGUAAAAAAAAAAAAAAAAAAAAAAAAAAAACAAUGUAAA